ACGAGUUUUUUUUGGUUAGCUCCGAAAACUCCCACCCUUGUGUAUUUUCGCUGAAAAGCAGCUUCGGCGGGCCGUCAGACCUUAGCGAUAAGAUCCUGACAUUGGCCUUGUGCGGAUUUGCGUCCGCCGAAGAUCCAAACUCUUACAAUUUGAAGUCUGAUAAAAACAAAAUAAAUCA
rnacentral:misc_RNA from 1 species